rnacentral:rRNA from 1 species
AUUGAACGCUGGCGGCAUGCUUUACACAUGCAAGUCGAACGGUAGAGGGGCAACCCUUGAGAGUGGCGAACGGGUGAGUAAUGCAUCGGAACGUGCCCAGUAGUGGGGGAUAGCCCGGCGAAAGCCGGAUUAAUACCGCAUACGACCUGAGGGUGGAAGAGGGGGAUCGCAAGACCCCGCGCUAUUGGACCGGCCGAUGUCAGAUUAGGUAGUUGGUGGGGUAAAGGCCUACCAAGCCGGCGAUCUGUAGCUGGUCUGAGAGGACGACCAGCCACACUGGGACUGGGACACGGCCCAGACUCCUACGGGAGGCAGCGGUGGGGAAUUUUGGACAAUGGGCGCAAGCCUGAUCCAGCCAUGCCGCGUGCGGGAAGAAGGCCUUCGGGUUGUAAACCGCUUUUGUCAGGGAAGAAAUCUUCUGGGCUAAUACCCCGGGAGGAUGACGGUACCUGAAGAAUAAGCACCGGCUAACUACGUGCCAGCAGCCGCCGUAAAAC